rnacentral:misc_RNA from 1 species
UUUCCGUAGGUGAACCUGCGGAAGGAUCAUUAUUUGAUUUUGAAACUUCAGGCUGCUGCUGGCUCUCCUCGGAGGGCAUGUGCACGCUUGUUGUCCAUUAUUUCUCCCACUGUGCACAAAUUGUAGACCUUUCAGUAGGGCUAUGUUGUUUUUCACAAUCUCUGAAUGUAAUAGAAUGGUUUUGAAUCUUGGGAAAUACAAUACAACUUUCAGCAACGGAUCUCUUGGCUCUC